rnacentral:rRNA from 1 species
AUUGAACGCUGGCGGCAGGCCUAACACAUGCAAGUCGAGCGAGCGGCGGACGGGUGAGUAAUGUCUGGGAAACUGCCAGCUGGGGGGGGCUAACUACUGGAAAAGGUAACUAAUACCGCAUACCGUCAGAUGGACCCAGAUGGGAUUAGCUGGUGGGUGGGGUAACGGCUAACCUAGGCGACGAUCCCUAGCUGGUCUGAGAGGAUGACCAGCCACACUGGGACUGAGACACGGUCCAGACUCCUACGGGAGGCAGCAGUGGGGAAUAUUGGACAAUGGGCGCAAGCCUGAUGCAGCCAUGCCGCGUGUGUGAAGAAGGCCUUCGGGUUGUAAAGCACUUUCAGCGGGGAGGCGUUACCCGCAGAAGAAGCACCGGCUAACUCCGUGCCAGCAGCCGCGGUAAUUC